CGCCGCUGUACGUGGGCAGGAGAGGGCGGGUCGAGCCGGACGACGACGGUGGCGGUGGAGCCCUGUCGCUGUGGCUCCUGCUCCUGCUACUGGUCUUCGUCAUCAACCUUACGUGCUGCGCCGACCGCAGGAUCAUGAGGUGCAAGGCUUCGCUCGGGGGUUGAUCCGGAUGCCAUCGAUGGCAGCAAUGUUUUGUGGAGGUGUCGAUGUCUUGCUCGUUGAUGAUGUCGAGUGCGGUUUAAUGUUGGGUUUUGACAUUUUGUCGACCCCAUGAAUCCACUGUCCAUUACUCAGCUGAAUGAGGAAGCGAGAUUAGUGGAAGAGAGGCUUCAAUCUUUUCCUAUUUAAGAUGUGAAAAAACAGACAUUAUUUCUUUAAUUGCAAGCAUAUGAACACUAAUUCA